CAGGUGAGUGUGUUCAGACUGCUGAGCCAGCAGAAAACUGUUACUGCAACUAAAACUGAAAGGCUUUCCACCAGAUCAGCCAAAUGGAUCCAGGCACUUUAUAGCUCUGUGUUGCUGGAUCCAACUCUGGUGAAAGGGAAAAUGAGGGGAUGGGGCUCUUUGUUUUCAGCCCAUCUUAGUUACAGGUAGAUUACAGACUGACUGUAACUUGAAACUACCUGAAACACCUUGUCCAGGAUCACAGAGGAGAUCUGUAGCCUGGGGGGAAGUGAAUCAGGUCUUUAAAGUCUAAGCUUAUGUCCAGAGCAGGGCACCAGCCUUACUCUCACUGUGGGAGCUGAAAAGGGACCAACAUCAGUUCACUCGAUCCAUUCUCCUGCUCACUCUUAGUACGGUGGAAAGGACACACUCAUUGCUGCCCAGAUGCCUUUGCCUGGGACUAGACAUGGUUGAUUUCCUGGGCUGUCCAAGUGCUCCAACAUGGCUAAUGCCUGUGGGAGUGUGGAUCUGGGGGCUGCAGGCUCUGGGGCUAUCAGGUCACAGCUGAGUGAGCUGGGACAUGAGAACAGCCAUGUUUUCUAUAAGUCAACUUUUUGUGUGUGUUUUUGUUUUUCUCUGUAUCUGGAUUUCUCUGAUACACUUGAGCAUCCAGAGGGCCUACAGGAAGCUGCCUCCAAGACUGACACCUAUCUCCUUAACCAGCUGUGGACACUGGACUUCCAAACUCACCAUGAAACACUCUUGAAGGUGCAGCUCCAGGACACUUUCCCAUCAUCACUGAGGCCCUCAGGCACUUUGUUGAUGAGAAGGCCGGUGGCAGCGACACACUUGCGUGAUCUAUGAACUCUUACUAAGGCUGAGAUCAGGCACCACCAGAAGAGCUGGGUGCCUGCACAGCCACAGGACUUCAUUGCUGCAUGCCUGAAUGAGAUGUUCAAGGCAGAGGAUGACACACUCUCUACAUUCAGAGUGCAGUGACCACAGAUCUCUUCAGAGCAGGCUCAGACUCCACCUUCACUUUAUGCUGAGCACUCCAUGAUGGUGUAUCUGGAACUGCAAGGCUGCAAAACUACCCAAAGGUGAGUUUGGACAGCUCACAAGGAACUCUUCACUGGGAAUGGGAUGCUGGAUGUUAUCU